UACGAAGGGGGCUAGCGUUGCUCGGAAUCACUGGGCGUAAAGGGUGCGUAGGCGGGUCUUUUAAGUCAGGGGUGAAAUCCCGGAGCUCAACUCCAGAACUGCCUUUGAUACUGAAGAUCUUGAGUUCGGGAGAGGUGAGUGGAACUGCGAGUGUAGAGGUGAAAUUCGUAGAUAUUCGCAAGAACACCAGUGGCGAAGGCGGCUCACUGGCCCGAUACUGACGCUGAGGCACGGAAAGCGUGGGGAGCAAACAGG
rnacentral:rRNA from 1 species